GAUGAACGCUGGCGGCGUGCCUAAUACAUGCAAGUCGAGCGAAUGGAUUAAGAGCUUGCUCCUAUGAAGUUAGCGGCGGACGGGUGAGUAACACGUGGGUAACCUGCCCAUAAGACUGGGAUAACUCCGGGAAACCGGGGCUAAUACCGGAUAACAUUUUGAACCGCAUGGUUCGAAAUUGAAAGGCGGCUUCGGCUGUCACUUAUGGAUGGACCCGCGUCGCAUUAGCUAGGUUGGUGAGGUAACGGCUCACCAAGGCAACGAUGCGUAGCCGACCUGGGAGGGGGAUCGGCCACACUGGGACUGAGACACGGCCCAGACUCCUACGGGAGGCAGCAGUAGGGAAUCUUCCGCAAUGGACGAAAGUCUGACGGAGCAACGCCGCGUGAGUGAUGAAGGCUUUCGGGUCGUAAAACUCUGUUGUUAGGGAAGAACAAGUGCUAGUUGAAUAAGCUGGCACCUUGACGGUACCUAACCAGAAAGCCACGGCUAACUACGUGCCAGCCGCCGCGGUAA
rnacentral:rRNA from 1 species